GAGAAGAGGAGGGACCAGAGGGAGAAGAAGAGGGACCAGAGGGAGAAGAGAGACAAGGAGGAGAAGAGGAUGCAGCUGCUGGAUCUCGUGCUGGCCAAAAACAAACCGGACAGGCUCUGAAGAGGGCAGGAAGCAAUGAAGAAUCAAGAAGGAAGAGGCGGAAGAGAUGGACGAGGAGGAGAAAGGGGAAGAAGGAGUGUUGUUGUGCCGUUUGUGGAGAGGAGUGGGCAAGGAGUGCCCCAAGGGAGUUUUGGAUAGAGUGUAUGAAAUGUAAAAAUUGGACGCACGAAAGGUGUAUUGAGGGUAUUGAGCUUUCCCAUUAUAUCUGCAGCAAAUGUCCUAAAUAAGUUAAUAAAUAUGUAAUACUUGACUUCCUUUAAUACAACGUAUUGUUGAUAUUUUGUAAAUAGUUUAGUAAGUACAUGAAGUUGAAGUAUUUAUCUAUAUAAGAUAGCCGAUGAGAUGUGUCUUUUGAACCUUGAUAAAAUACUGUUUGAAAUUGUUUAAAAUCCCUGAAAAAUCACACCAUGCACUUACUGAAGUAUCCAGUCAUUUGUAUUAAAAGUCUCCUCCUACUGAAGGUCAUGCUGGUGACAUUAUGUUUUUGGGGUUGUCUGUCCAUCGUAAAUCUGUCAAGACAAAAGGUGUCCUGGCACUGGAAUAUGAAAUUUGCCUCUGCUCUCAUGUCAGCCGUUUAAAGAAAAGUGAUACAAUCAAGUGACCAAGAAGAACUUACCCUUCAUAGCUCUUGAAAAGAUUAUACAAAUUUGAACACAUUUACUUUUUUUCCCAUUCACUGAAUACACAUAGAUGUCUAAUAAAGUAAUGCUUAAUGACAUAUUUUUCAUACUGUGAGGGUUAGAUUAAAAAAGUGGUCAAACUCUGAUGUCUGAGGUGUAUAAUGACAUUCGCAUGGAUGAAAAAAAAAAGUAAAUUAUGCUGGCACUAUCUAGACAUUUAUGAAUACAUAUAACUCAUGAAUAUUUUGUUAGACCAGUGCUAUAUUCUAACUGUCUAUAGGGGGAAACGAGUAUGAUAAAACUGUUCACUGAGAAAUGUUCACGUCUUUUAAAGCACCAAAUGGUCAUUUUUGGACUACAGUUUUUUCACGAUACCAGAGACACUGGUGGCAUGUAUUGCCAUCUAACUCAGAUUUUUAAAGCUGGAAAUAUUGUUAAACAAUGCCUUUUAGUUAUUUUAGGCUGUCAACUUUAGACAAAUGUGAAAGCAUAUAUCUAACCUAAAUGGUAUUUUGUUGUGGUGGCUAAAAUCUACCACAUCUCUCCCUAGUGUUCACAUAUUGUUAUUGAAGGUAAUAAGUUUCAUAGGUGUAGAGGGCGCUUUGUCUUUAGGGAACUUGUGAAUUUUUUUUAAGCAAACACUUUCAAUGCAGCAAUCUUCUGAAUUAAACGUCAAUACUUUAAUUUAAUAUAAUUUGACCCAAAAUAUGAAAUGUUCUUAAAUGUUUUCACCUUUAAAGCCCCACUCCACUACUUAUAGCUACUUGCACCCUCUAUAUAGUCAACAGUGCCUAAUCGGUUACAAAUACAAAUACUAACCAUUGUCUCUGUCUGUAUGAAAUUGUUGUGGUUGGUGACACAAGACCAUAAGGGACAUUACUUUUUCUUUGUCAAAAACAUUUCUAGAGUUAUAAAAACUUAACUUAAAAUAAGCACUGUCAAGGACAUAUUCUGUCUUUUCAUGCAUAUUUGAUUGUGCAUUAACUUGAAACAAAUCUGGGGGGGGGGGAGUAGUAUCUCAUUAAUGAACAACGCACCUUCUAAAGGACUAAAUUAAGGUGUUGCUCUAUUGUAAGCAAGAUGCCCAUAAAUAAACAAUUACUCAUGUUUCCUUAAAGAUUAAGCAAUUAAACUAGAUACAUAUCUGCUUGUAAAAUGCUACUUUUAAAAAACUAUAAUGCUACUGAUCAACAUUUGUCUAUUAACAAGUUAUCACAAAUCCCCCCCCCCCCCCCUUCAAGGUUUAUUUAUAUUUCUUAGAAAUUAUGUUUUGUACAUUUCUUGUACUUUGCUGUUUGUGCAGACUUGAACAAAAUCACAUUUUGCUUUCGUUUUGUAGUUCGUCAUUUGUUAAAUUGUACAUUUAAAUGUAUAGUGUUUAGUUCAGGAAGGUAGGAAAACACUCAUGUGGGCUUUUAAAUUUUAUCUCAUUUUAUAUCCAAGUGAAAGUACAUGUAUGUCACAACACCACGCCUGGGUAUCGCAUAUGCAUAUCUGUGUAGGGAUUUUUUUUCCAAGUUCAGUUUUUAUUUUAUGUUGCCACUUUGCUAAUUUAAAAUCUGUAUACUUUGUCUUAUCAUUCACACAGAAUAUGUUUCAUGAAUUUUCUACUAGUUCAUUUUCAUUACCAAAACCAAGUGUUACCUUUAACUAUAAUUGACUUGUGAUGGAUUUUAGAGUUCUGUACUCAGUGUCCUUAACCCUAUAUAUCUCAGGGAGGGGGGCCUUAAUAAGCCCCCCAUCCCAUCUAAAUUUUUGACGAUAACUAUUUAAUGCAAACAAAAUAUUGUGUUGAAAUUGUAUGACUUUUUUCUUUUGAGUCUCUCGCAUCUUUUGAAACAAAUUUUUUCAAAAAAAUCAGACUUACUGUUACACAGUCACUUGACCUUUUGUCUUUGCAUGUCAUCCCGAAAAUUGUUUAUUUUCAUGAUUUGCGUUCAAAAUAUAAGGUAAUCAUUUUUCCAAAAAAGAGGUAGAACAUUGGUUGUUAUUUAUAGUGUAGGUGUUUGUUUUGGGGGUCAAAAUAGUUUAAUUAUAGUUAAAAAUGAAAUAAAACAAUAAAGUACAUAAGUUGAAAAAAAUAUGAAAUUACCUAUACAUAACAUGUCAUAAAAAAUAACCUGGAUCUUUCCAAUUUUUUGUUGGUAUUAUUCCAAAUUGUCUAAAGAAUAUAAGUAAUGAAAAUGGAUGUUACAAAAUAUGGAGAAUAUAUGAUUUAUGGGUUUAAAAAAUCUUUGUUUCUUUGUGUAUCUUUAAUAAUCUUUAUGUAAUUAAAUCAAUGUUUUAGUCAGAGUAAAGAAAUAUCUGGAAGUAUCAGACCCUUAUCCUACAUGUACAUCCAUACACCAUUUGUUAAUUAUAGGGACUGUCACUGAAUGUAACAGUGUCAUUUUGUUAAUCAGAGUAAUUUAUGAUAGAAUGGACGGGCCGAGUCAUCCGACUUAUGGCAUUACCACCUUUGAUGUACCGGUAUAUAGUGUUACUUUUUCCCUUUGCUAUAUCAUUGUUAACUAAAGAAUUUCACAACAGGAUGAUGUACAUCAUUAUUAGAUACUCUUUUAUUGAUCCAUAUUCAAAACAUAGAAUACGAGUUUAUCAGAAUGUUGUUUAUAUGCCACCGUUUAAUAAAUGCUGCCUGAUUGUUUCAACCAACAACUUUGCAAUAUGAA